CGCCCGGGGCGGCGAGUCGCUCCAGCCUGGCGUUCCUCACGUGGACGCCACCGUGGGCGGUUCGACGCAGCUCCCGGGCGGC
rnacentral:tRNA from 1 species